CCCCUUGUACACACCGCCCGUCGCUACUACCGAUUGAAUGGUUUAGUGAGGCCUUCUGACUGGCGCCGAUACUCUGGCAACAGAGCGCCGGAUGCCGGAAAGUUGGUCAAACUUGAUCAUUUAGAGGAAGUAAAAGUCGUAACAAGGUUUCCGUAGGUGAACCUGCGGAAGGAUCAUUACCGAUGAUAUUCGUCCCACAACUACACAGUUGUACCUUGUGAACCGUACCCAACUAUUCAGGGGUCGGCUUGUCCGUUAAAUGGUUCGUCGGAACGCGAGAUAAUCGCGGCCGCUCGACCGGCCCCGCACGCGUUUUGUUUUUUAUAAACAUAUGUGUACCUGUCUGACCAAGCGUUGCGGCCGGCCCAAGGGUCGGUCGCGGCAAUUAGAGCAAAAAACGAGAUACAACUUUUGACGAUGGAUCUCGUGGCUCACGCAUCGAUGAAGAACGCAGCCAGGGAGCAUGUCUGUCUGAGUGUCGGAUAUCAUCCAACGCACGCCAGCGUGCGGAAUUGAGGCGUCACGGUCCGUACUGCACGGACCGUGUCCCUUGAAAGUCAGAGAGACUCGCCGCGUCGCGGGAAGAUUCCCCGUGCACACCAGCGGAGGCUAAAAUGUCUUUUGCCCUUCGCGUGCCGGGAAGUCGCCGCGUGCGGCGGUCGUCGUCGGGCGAACUUUAAUUAUCUUGACCUCAGAUCAGGCAAGGCUACCCGCUGAAUUUAAGCAUAUUAAUAAGCGGAGGAAAAGAAACUAACAAGGAUUCCCUCAGUAACGGCGAGUGAAGCGGGACCAGCUCAAAUUUGAAAUCUCCGAUGCCUGCAUCGGCGAGUUGUAGUUGCGAGAAGCACUUUCUAGGUGGAUCGGUCGUGCCUAAGUUGCUUGGAACAGCACGUCGCAGAGGGUGACAACCCCG
rnacentral:rRNA from 1 species